GGAUCAAUAUGUUGGUCGUGCCCUUGGUACGUACUAGCUUAUUGAUUUCUCCCUUCUGAUGAACCAUGAUGUCAUUGAUUUGGUGUCAUGGGGAAUCAGGACUGUUACUUUGAAAAAAUUAGAGUGUUUAAAGCAGGCUUACGCUUGAAUACAUUAGCAUGGAAUAAUGAAAUAGGACGUUUUGAUUCUAUUUUGUUGGUUUCUAGAGUCGCCGUA
rnacentral:rRNA from 1 species